AUUUUCGGCAAUGGGCGAAAGCCUGACCGAGCAACGCCGCGUGAAGGAUGAAGUAUUUCGGUAUGUAAACUUCUAUCAGCAGGGAAGAAAAUGACGGUACCUGACUAAGAAGCCCCGGCUAACUACGUGCCAGCAGCCGCGGUAAUACGUAGGGGGCAAGCGUUAUCCGGAUUUACUGGGUGUAAAGGGAGCGUAGGCGGUCUGACAAGUCAGAAGUGAAAGCCCGGGGCUCAACCUCGGGACUGCUUUUGAAACUGCCGGACUAGAUUGCAGGAGAGGUAAGUGGAAUUCCUAGUGUAGCGGUGAAAUGCGUAGAUAUUAGGAGGAACACCAGUGGCGAAGGCGGCUUACUGGACUGUAAAUGACGCUGAGGCUCGAAAGCGUGGGGAGCAAACA
rnacentral:rRNA from 1 species